rnacentral:misc_RNA from 1 species
GAUGAAGAACGUAGCGAAAUGCGAUACGUAAUGUGAAUUGCAGAAUUCAGUGAAUCAUCGAAUCUUUGAACGCACAUUGCGCCCGCCAGUAUUCUGGCGGGCAUGCCUGUCCGAGCGUCAUUUCAACCAUCAAGCCCCCGGGCUUGUGUUGGGGACCUGCGGCUGCCCGCAGGCCCUGAAAACCAGUGGCGGGCUCGCUGUCACACCGAGCGUAGUAGCAAUCACCUCGCUCAGGGCGUGCUGCGGGUUCCGGCCGUUAAACAGCCUUACAAAACCCAAGGUUGACCUCGGAUCAGGUAGGAAGACCCGCUGAACUUAAGCAUAUCAAUAAGCGGAGGA